AAUCUGAUAGGAGGGAAAUGCUCACGCCACAAGCCUCGGCUUCCAAAAAAGGUCAUGCGAGAGGGGAGCGUCAACGAUACUAUGAAAUCCAUCCCCCUCACAACAAACUGCAGUCAUGCUGGCUAAGGUAGCUGCCAUCAAACGCUUUAUGCACAGCAAGCAGAUUAGAAGAAAGCAAUGUUUUACUGAUCUCAUCUGAUGCUCACAUGACGUCUUUCCAUAGCAAGAUCACUCUCAGCCAAUUGCUUUGAGAGAGAACAUCCAGCCACCACAGCACAGCACAGCAGAGCAUCACGUGACGUGACAGCCGGAUGGAAUCUGCGCAUGUGCACGUGCUGGGCAGCUGUAGGCUGCAGCGGCCGCUGACGUGCCAUUGGCUGAGGUUACUCUCAGUCAUUGACAUGAAGUCACUAGAUGCUCCGCUGGGGACAGUCCUAUGCUGCACCGAUCACAAUGCAUUAUUGUCGUCUCAUUUCAGAUGUCUUGAAUCAACUAUUAAAUUGAACAAGGGUAAUCAUA